rnacentral:rRNA from 1 species
UACGUAGGGUGCGAGCGUUGUCCGGAAUUAUUGGGCGUAAAGGGCUCGUAGGCGGUUUGUCGCGUCGGGAGUGAAAACGCCGUGCUUAACACGGCGCUUGCUUUCGAUACGGGCAGACUAGAGGUAUGCAGGGGAGAACGGAAUUCCUGGUGUAGCGGUGAAAUGCGCAGAUAUCAGGAGGAACACCGGUGGCGAAGGCGGUCU